ACGGACGCUGGCGGCGUGCUUAACACAUGCAAGUCGAACGGUGAAGCGAGUGCUUGCACUCGUGGAUCAGUGGCGAACGGGUGAGUAACACGUGAGUAACCUGCCCAUCACUCUGGGAUAAGCACUGGAAACGGUGUCUAAUACUGGAUACGACCAACCCUUGCAUGGGGUGUUGGUGGAAAGAUUUAUCGGUGAUGGAUGGACUCGCGGCCUAUCAGCUUGUUGGCGGGGUAAUGGCCCACCAAGGCGACGACGGGUAGCCGGCCUGAGAGGGUGACCGGCCACACUGGGACUGAGACACGGCCCAGACUCCUACGGGAGGCAGCAGUGGGGAAUAUUGCACAAUGGGCGAAAGCCUGAUGCAGCGACGCCGCGUGAGGGAUGACGGCCUUCGGGUUGUAAACCUCUUUCAGCAGGGAAGAAGCGAAAGUGACGGUACCUGCAGAAGAAGCACCGGCUAACUACGUG
rnacentral:rRNA from 1 species